UGACGGACACCCCCGCCCCCACGCGGCCGAGCGGCGGCUCCGGCAGCGCGCGCACAUGCAUGCACACGCGUGCACACACAUGCAGAUGCAUGCGCACGCUUGCACACGAGCGCCGAUGCACGCGCGCUGCACACGCGCCCCCGCGCGCUGGCGGGAGCGCCCGGCCCCGCCGCGGGAGCCCGGCGGCAGGUGGGCGGGGGCGGCGAGGACGGCGGCCCCAGGAAAACGUCUGUUCAAAGAGGCAAACUUAUGAAUCGCAUCAGCAACAGAAUACUUGGUCUGUCCAGAUACACAAGCCUCCAUAUCUUCAGGACUUAGCUGAGUCUGUAAGAAGAGGUGAAGCCUACUGUCUGAAAGCAAUAAUGCAUUUUGCAGGAUCCUUUAAAAAGAAAAAGAAAAGUCACAUGUAUUUAUAUAGAUACACAUAUAUUCUAAAGUGUUUUACCAGAACAAAUUCUAAAUGGUGUCCUGCUUUUAAGUAUUUAUAAGAAUCCUAAAUCAGUUACAGAAGGUAAUGAACUUAUUAAAAUGAUUAGGUGUGUGUUACUUUCUUAUUACAUUAUUUGGAAUUUUAGGUGAGUAAAAACAUGAAGCUAAUAGUUAAGCACAUCUGUUAUAACAAUAACUUCAAGGACAUUUCUUCCAUUUAACCAUCUGUUAUUACCACAUGGAUUAAUUAAUGAUUUUUAGGCUGUUGGUAGCAUAUACUUUUACAGAAAUUUGGUCUCCAUUUGAGAACUGUCUAUAUAUUUUUUUAAAUAACUAAGCUUUUCUAAAAAUUAGACAUCACCAAUCUCUUUGUUGGAGGAAAGAAGUGCGUACAGAGAUAGAGGACUUCAGAAACAUGAAAUGUCCGGACUGUGAAAUACUCGUAAACAGAGUAUCUGUACACAUAAGCCAAAAUUUACACUUUAACAAAUAUGCAUACCUUUAAGGUAGAGUGACAAUGCCAAUACUGAACAUUGAUCUAAAUGUAUACUUUAAACUGUUUUCAGGGAAUCUCAAAUAAUACUUUUCAUUCUAGAUAUUCUUUUUAAAACUCCAUUUUCAUCUCUCUAAGCCUUCAAAUUUAGCACAGAGUAUUUGCUUACAUAGAGUGGGAGUACAAAGUACAACACAUUCCAGAAAUACAAAAAGUUGUAGAGAUACUAUUUAUUACAUGGCCUGAGAACUGAGGAUCAUCAGCACUAUUUUGAAAAAAGUACAACUCUACUGCAAGAAUCAUCUAAAGAAGGAAUACUUUAAUACAUGUAUCCUAGUGUGACUAACAGGAGACUCUGUUUAUGCAUACAUGUAAUUUUAUUCACAUGAGCGAAGUAAUCUACUGUCAGCCUUUGCAAGAUAAGAGCCUAUAGCCAUGCCAAAUAGUGCUCCAUAGAAAAUUACAAAAAAAAAAAAAAAAACCCUAAGGCAAAACCAAAACUAGCAAGAGUCAACAUAUACCUAUUUCUAAUCACUGUAGUUGCCAAAAAAGUCAUUGCUAUGCAGCAGGAUACAAAAGAACAUUAACGUAAGAACUGGUAAAAGCAGAAAGAAAUAGUGCAUUAUAUAGGUACUCUGAUUAAACUGAAAUGUAUAAUGGAUUAGUUCCUUGUAUCAAACAAGAUUAAUGAUGUGCUUGGACUGUAACAUUUUAAAAAUAUAAAUAUGCUCUGAAAACCAUCCUCUAAAGUGGCCAACAUUACAAUAACAGUAUACUGAAAGAUUUCUGGCUUUAUCUAAGCCUGUAAAAUUCUGUCAAAUCAAAAUAAAUAAGAGAUAUAUCUAAUUGAAAAUGUAA